UUCUAUAUCAGGGUUGGCAAACUUUUUCUCUACAGCACCAGACAGUAAAUAUUUCAAACACAACGUUGGACAAUAUGUAGAUAAAUGAGUGUGGCUGUGCUUUGGUCAAACUUUAUUUCAGCACAGUGAUACCCUGCAUUUUACAUAAGGAACUUGAGCAUCUCUGGACUUUGGCUCCUCUGUCCAUGGGAUUUUCCAAGCAAUGCCAUGAAAAGAAUACUGCAAGCAAGAAUACUGGAGUGAGUUGCCAUUUCCUCCUCCAGAGGAUCUUCCCAACCCAGGGAUGGAAUCUGUGUCUCUUGGAUUGUCCAGCAGAUUCUUUACCACUGCAUCACCUGGGAAGUGCUGGACUGCAUGAAAGAUGACCUAUGACUUAUUUAGAAACAUCUGGAUAUCUUGAGGCAUCUUCUAAGAACUCUCUCCUUAUUAAAGGACUCAAAUAUAUACAAGUGCUUGGGAAGAUUUUAACUCUUGUUCCUGGGAUGUAUGUGGCACAGGACUGAACAUCUUCAUAAAUGAGAGUGUUCCUUUCUUUCCAUUUCACGUAUAUUUACUUCUGAUGCCUAAAUCCUUUUGCCCAGCGUGGGGAAACAUCUCUAUUUCAUCUGGUGUCCUGCAAAGUUUGAUAGAACUGGAUCUAAACACGGUGCUUCCGUGGCUGAUUUCCACAUCUAACGCACACAGGACUCAGUGGUAAAGAAUCCACCUGCAAUGCACGAGACACAGGUUCGGUCUCUGGGUCGGGAAGAUCCCCUGGAGAAGGAAAUGGCAAUGCACUCCAGUAUUCUUGCCUGGAGAAUCCCAUGGACAGAGAGCCUGGUGGGCUAUAUAUAGUACAUGGGGUCGCAAGAAUCAGACAUGACUUAUCAACUAAACCACUACCAUACAUAUUUUGUCUCCUUAGGUAUGUUUAUUCCUAGCUAUCUUAUUCUUUUUCAUGUGAUGGUAAAUGGAAUUGUUUCCUUAAUUUCUCUUUCUGAUCUUUUGUUGUUAGUGUAUAGGAAUGCAAGAGAUUUCUGUGGUAUUAAUUUUGUAUCCUGCAACUUUACCAAAUUUAUUAAUGAUCACUAGUAGUUUUCUGGUAGCUUCUUUAGGAUUUUCUAUGUAUAGUAUCAUGUCAUCUGCAGAGACAGCUUACUUCUUCUUUUCUAAUUUGGAUUAAUUUGGAUUUUAUUUCUUCUCUGAUUCCUAUGGCUAGGACUUCCCCAACUAUGUUGAACAAAAGUGGCA
ensembl:lncRNA